rnacentral:misc_RNA from 1 species
UCCCCGUUGCCGGGGCAGUCUGAUUAGAAAAAUACAACUAAUGACAAGGGUUGCGCUCGUUGCGGGACUUAACCCAACAUCUCACGACACGAGCUGACGACGGCCAUGCAGCACCUGUGUAAGCUACUGACUUAACAGUUCGAUCCCCUUUCGGUUCACUACUUCAUGCAUGUCAAGCCCUGGUAAGGUUCUUCGCGUUGCAUCGAAUUAAGCCACAUACUCCACCGCUUGUGCAGGCCCCCGUCAAUUUCUUUGAGUUUUAAUCUUGCGACCGUACUUCCCAGGCGGCUUAUUUAUCGCGUUAGCUACGCCACAAAAGGGGUCGAUUCCUUUUACAGCAAAUAAGCACCGUUUACGGCUAGGACUAC